GCUCGUAGCGUCGGUCGCGUCGACUGUGAAACUCGGAGCUCACCCCGAGCCUGCAGUCGAUACGAGCAGACUAGAGUCCGCAGAGGAAGACUGGAAUUCCUGGUGUAGCGAUGAAAUGCGCAGAUAUCAGGAGGAACACCGGUGAGCGAAGACGAGUCUCUGAGCCCGGAACUGACGCUGAAGAAGCGAAAGCGUGAGGAGCGAACAGGAUUAGAUACCCUAGAUAGUCCACGCCGUAAACGUUGAGCGCUAGGUGUAGAGGGACCUUCCACGUUCUCCGUGCCGCAGCUAACGCAUUAAGCGCCCCGCCUGGGAGAGUACGGCCGCAAGGCUAAAACUCAAAGGAAUUGACAGGGGCCCGCACAAGCAGCGGAGCAUGUGGCUUAAUUCGACGCAACGCGAAGAACCUUACCAGGGUUUGACAUGCAGGGAAAUCCGGCAGAGAUGUCGGGUCCGCAAGGGUCCUGCACAGGUGGUGCAUGGCUGUCGUCAGCUCGUGUCGUGAGAUGUUGGGUUAAGUCCCGCAACGAGCGCAACCCUCGUCCUAUGUU
rnacentral:rRNA from 1 species